rnacentral:lncRNA from 1 species
GUGGCUUAGUGGUCAAGUUCCCCUGAGUUCAAUCCCCAGUACCAAAAUAAAUAAAUAAAUAAACAAGGGAGACUGAAGUAAGCAUUAUUUAUUAUCUACUUCCAAAAUGGGGUGUGGCCAUUUCUGUUUUAGGCUAAUCUGAUGUAUAUUUGACCUAGAACUGGACCUUAUUGUAGCUUUAGUUUGAUUUGGUUCACCACUAGUUACAAAUAUUUUGAAGGUGAGAAUUUUACUUCAGCAGGACCUGGAUUUGGGAUGCUGGCAAGAUUCCAGAGAUCCAACUGCUUAACAGUCUAACCAUCAGCUUUUGGAAACAGUCUCUCUCUGCUUCAUAGCUUUGACUCCAGGCUUGCUUUCUCCCUUCCUCCCUCCCUUCCUUCCUUCCUUUUUAUCAUCUGGAUGGGGGGUAUUUUUCUCAGCAGUCACUUGUGUAGGUUCUUAGUCUUUUUUAAAGGAAUGACCCCAAUGCCUGAGGGAUGAGACUUUCCACUCUCCUGCCCCUCCUAAAAGUCUUCAAGAGUGCCUCUGAUGGAUUUCUCAGCUCUUCUACCUUGCCCCCUCAUUUUAAAAGGCAUUUUGCACCUGGAAAAGGCUCCUUAACAUGGUAGAUUUCUCUUCGCUCUCCUAAUAUUCAUUUACUUCCAAAUUUGGUAUACUACAUCCCUGUAUUUGUUUAAUAUCUAUGAAGUACGAUUGGUGGGUGGGUGUGGG